rnacentral:tRNA from 1 species
GGAGUUGUAGCUCAGUGGUAGAGCACUUGCCUAGCACAUGUGAGGCACAGGGUUCCAUCCUCAGCUCCA